ensembl:lncRNA
UAGGGAUGAUACUGGUUUCCUUCAGACACGAUGUUAGGUAUUCAGGCCAAAGAAGAGUUCCAUGUCUGCUUCAUCAAGCCAGGAAAUUCUGUUUAUCAUGACCUAAGGGUCCUUAAAAUGCCCUAAAAUGUUGUGUUGCCAUGCACUUUUUUGAACGUUUCUAUACACACACACACACACACACACACACACACACACACACACACACACACACACAACUAAAAGCCUGACACACAAUAACAUCAUCCGAGCAAACAGUUUCAUUUCGUUGCCACUGCCGUGAUUCAAUAUUUUCAGUCGUAAAUCAGAUAAUGACACGGAAGUGUCUGCUUUUCUCCAUCCAGCUGUGACUCCAAAGGAGGCGGAUUUCCUAAUGUGAUAAGUCACAUUGAUGGACAGCACUGAGCUAAACCCAGGCACACGGCGACAACAACAUAAGCGAGCAGAAUACUGACAACUGUCAGUGGAUUACUUUACUGCUGAAGAAAUCUUUAAACCCAGUGGAUUCUAAGAUUUCUGUGCUUCUCCCGCCCCUGGUGACCUCCGCUGUCGCUCACUUGCAUUUACCCGUCCACUUGUCAUCGCUGUCCAGAGACAUGCAGAUAGUCUCUUUGAGGAGUGCAUAGGAGCAUAACUGAGGUAGGUGAAAAACCCUCUCUCCUCUCUGCCCGAACGGAACGAUUUAAGUGUAAUUUAUUGUCCCCAAAUGUGUCCGUGUGCAUUCACGUCUCCGUUUGGACCACGAACUGAGAACUGAUGGUGAAGCUGCUCCGACUUUCCAAGCUGGAAUUGACGUGAAGGUGGAAAGUUGUGAGUUGUGGAGUAACAUAACUACAUGCGAGGUGUACAAAAUUGAUUGGAUCACAGUUUAAACCAUUACUAUGGACUGUACCAUUAAAAUGGGUGCAAACAGGCCAAACGUGCAUUUUAUAUCGUGUUUUAAAGUUGUACCUCACCAUUAGCUGUUGAACAAUAGUUUCUCUUAUUGUAUUGUGAUAAUGUUUACAUAUUUUUAAUCUUUUUUCUUUUUUUUAGUAAUGUUGUUAAGUGUUUAUAUUUCUCCACCGCAGAACAGUUUACCCGGAAAUCAUGAAGCGGUGACCUAAGGAGGCAGGACAAAAGAUUUUUUUUUAAAUAAUGAAUGAAUGGAGUGAGAAUGAAAUGUCCUUCUUCGGAGUUUUAUACUAUAUUAUUGCUGUUUUUAUUUCUGGAGCCUUUGAAAAAGGUGAGAAAAAACUAUAUGUGAGUUAGGCUUUUUUUUUUUUUUAAUGGAAUUACCUUUUGUUUUUUAUAAGGAGAUUUCAGUUGUGGUGAUGUCAGAGGUCAUUAAGCUGAACUGAGAAUAAUGUAGUGAUACAGGUACAACC